GAUUCAUGCAAGGCCCUCGGGUGAGGGACUGUCGAUCCCGACAGCCAUGCCAGCGCAGGGCCAAGAAAGAAUGUCCUGGAAGGGUGGGGAUGGGUUGGGCUUUCUGAACCCUCCCACCUCAGGAAGGCAAAAGACACAGAUCACAGGCAGCAAGGGGCUGCCAUUUCUGAUGCUUAUACCCUCCACGGUGGCUACAGGAGCCCGCACCAGCAGUGGGAGGAGCAACAUUCCAGAAGCUGCUUCUCUCUGCACCGAUGCAGAAACUGUGCCUGCCAGAUAGUAAUGAUCCAGCCGAGGGCACCAGGCUACAAUUUGCAGAACUGGACUGAAGAAUGGCUGACAUAGCCAGCUGCAGUGGCUCAUGCUUGUAAUCCCAACAGUUUAGGAGGCCAAAGCAGGAGGAUCACUUGAAGUCAUGAGUUCAAGACCAGCCUGAGCAACAUGGCAAGACCCCAUCUCUAUAAAAAAUACAAUAAUUAGCAGGGCAUGGUCGCACAUGUCUGUAGUCCCAGCUGCUUGGUAGGCUGAGGCGGAUGGAUCAUUUCAGCCCAGGAGGCAAGACUGCAGUGAGCCAUGAGUAUGCCACUGCACUCCAGCCUGGGUGACAAAAGAAAAAAAAAAUAGAAUGGAUGAUAUAAACUUUAUUGUUUACUGUGGGGUUGCGGUGGGGGGAGGCGUUAGUUCGUUCUUCUUUCUCUCAAUACCUUUACAAAGUCUCUGUUUCAAAAGAGAGCGCAGAUUAUGCCUGCUACCCCAAGUCCUGAGUCAGAAUUCAAAGGCAAAUAUGGUAGGGUGAUGAGGCAGAAAGGACUUAGGCAGCAGGAGAGCUGUGAUUGGUGGAAGGGGCAGGCAGGAAGAGUUUGGGUUUGGAGACACUGGUUGCUGAGUCAGAACUCCAGCUCUGUCAUUGCCUGUGUGACUUUGGGCAAGUUACAUGUGAUUGUUGGAGCUUCCAUUUCAUUUGCUAAAUAAUUGGGAUCAUAAUACAUACAACGUGGAGUUGUUAGGAUGUCACGAGAGAAUGCACAAGAAGUAAGUACUCCCGAAUUGAGCUAUUAUCUACCUCAAAGGAUUACUGGAGAAAUAGAAAAGGGAUAUAAAGAAACACAGCAAAGAUGCUUCAUAAAAGCAGCUAAAGGCCCAUACUUCAGAACUCAUUUGGGUGAUUAUAGGAAUGAUGAAGUCAUGACAAUUUCAUCAUCGGGAAGGCCUGCCAUGUCUUGGCAAUGAAGAAGGUGGCAGCCAGACUGAAGGGAAGAGGGGCUGCAAGACUUGGAGUUGGUGAUGGCAACCCUGGAGAGGAAAGGAACAUGGCCAAGAGGUUGGGAUUCAUGCUAGAUCAAGAAGGAAGAACCCAGAAGCAGCCCAGAGGCUUCACAGCUACAUAAGAAAAAAAAGGGGGCCAGGCACGAUGCCUCAUGCCUGUAAUCCAGCACUUUGGGAGCCUGAGGCGGGUGGAUCACGAGGUCAGGAGUUCGAGAGCAGCCUGACCAACACAGUGAAACCCUGUCUCCACUGAGAAUACAAAAAUUAGCCAGGCAUGGUGGCACACGCCUGUAAUCCCAGCUACUCAGGAGGCUGAGGCAGGAGAAUCCAGGAGGCGGAACUGCGGUGGGCAGAGAUCACGCCACUGUACUCUAUUCUGGGUGACAGAGUAAGACUCCAUCUCAAAAAAAAAAAAAGGAUGUGACUAUUGCCAAAACCAACUUGUAAAACAUCACCAUGAUAUGUCACCAAGCUACCUACGAGAUGCUGGGCAUACCUUCGGUGGAAGAAAGAAACAGCUAUACAACUUUGGGUUGCUUCAUUUUUCUCUUGCAUUUCUAGUUCAGGUUGGUUUUGGUGUUCUGUUGUUGUUGUUGUUUUGCAUUCCAAAAAAAAUAAAAAAUAA
rnacentral:lncRNA from 10 species